UCCUGGCUCAGGAUGAACGCUAGCUACAGGCUUAACACAUGCAAGUCGAGGGGCAGCAUGGUCUUAGCUUGCUAAGGCCGAUGGCGACCGGCGCACGGGUGAGUAACGCGUAUCCAACCUGCCUUACACUCUUGGACAGCCUUCUGAAAGGGAGAUUAAUACAAGAUGUUAUCAUGAGUAAGCAUUUUCGCAUGAUUAAAGGUUUACCGGUGUAAGAUGGGGAUGCGUUCCAUUAGAUAGUAGGCGGGGUAACGGCCCACCUAGUCUUCGAUGGAUAGGGGUUCUGAGAGAAGGUCCCCCACAUUGGAACUGAGACACGGUCCAAACUCCUACGGGAGGCAGCAGUGAGGAAUAUUGGUCAAUGGACGAGAGUCUGAACCAGCCAAGUAGCGUGAAGGAUGAAGGUUCUAUGGAUUGUAAACUUCUUUUAUACGGGAAUAAACGAAUCCACGUGUGGAUUUUGCAUGUACCGUAUGAAUAAGGAUCGGCUAACUCCGUG
rnacentral:rRNA from 1 species